AACGAACGCUGGCGGCAUGCCUAACACAUGCAAGUCGAACGAAGCCUUCGGGUUUAGUGGCGCACGGGUGCGUAACGCGUGGGAAUCUGCCCUUUGGUUCGGAAUAACAGUUGGAAACGACUGCUAAUACCGGAUGAUGACGAAAGUCCAAAGAUUUAUCGCCAGAGGAUGAGCCCGCGUAGGAUUAGCUAGUUGGUGUGGUAAAGGCGCACCAAGGCGACGAUCCUUAGCUGGUCUGAGAGGAUGAUCAGCCACACUGGGACUGAGACACGGCCCAGACUCCUACGGGAGGCAGCAGUGGGGAAUAUUGGACAAUGGGCGAAAGCCUGAUCCAGCAAUGCCGCGUGAGUGAUGAAGGCCCUGGGGUUGUAAAGUUCUUUUACCCGGGAUGAUAAUGACAGUACCGGGAGAAUAAGCCCCGGCUAACUCCGUG
rnacentral:rRNA from 1 species